AGCUCAGCUGGGAGAGCGCCACCUUGACAGGGGGGAGGUUGCUGGUUCGAGAUCAGUGGGAA
rnacentral:tRNA from 2 species